GAAGCUGUUGCGUGAACAGCCACAGGUGUGUGAUGGAUCCAAACACAACGACCAGGCUUUGUUUGGGCUGUGUUGGAUCCGCACCUUGAGGGUAUCCUCGGAUUCAACUCAGGAACGCUGUGUGAAACAGAGGAACUGUUUAAUGUAAUGUUACCGCUCAGGUAAUGCUGAGGUCACAAAUGGGGACACAUGGCAAAAAGCAAUUAAAGACGGGACGAAUCUCAUAAAGAGUGAAGACAUAUCCACAAACCAGAUCCUUUUUCAUCUCCAGGGGAAGAGGCCUGGGUUUCGGUUAAGUGUAAGAUUCAAUUAAAAGCUUUAAUGUUGUCCUCAUUCAGUCCAAAAGGGAAUGAUCCCAUGCUUCAGUACAAUUACUCCUUGGAAGGCUUUUGUUAACAUCUGGUGCAUGACGGUUUUGAUGUGGCAGAGAAACAGGAGAAUAAAACACACUUUAACUGUGUUGUUACCUGGAAACAUCAGACUUUACUGGUUGGACGUUCAGAUCAGUGGAUAUCGAGCGCUCUUAAAGCUUGAGAUAAAAAUUUGUCUGGUUCAGCAUGUUAUUUAAGGACACUUGUUCACAGGAUAAAAGCUGAUAAUGGGCAAGCAAAAGACGAGCAAAAACAUACGGUGUAUUCAAACAAAAAGCCAAGCAUCCCAACACGUUGUGAUUACAGUUUACAGUUGAUGAAAACACUUGGAUAAAAUGCAAGUUUUAAAAAAAGUAUUUAUAAUAUGAUACAAGUAUAUUUUGUGCAAGAGGUUGUUGGGGCUGUGAAACCUGUACAUUAUGAACAAAGCACUUAAAAUUCAGUGGCGACCUGAAAGCAGAACAUGGCUACUGGGCCAUGAUUGCGUCAAACGGCUUAACUAUGAAGAUACUAGCUGUAUUAUACAAAUGGUUUCCAACAGUAUACAAUGGCUGUAUUAGAUUACAUAUUUAUAUAAAGUGCAAAAGAAACAAGCACUGACAGCGGAGGCCUGAAGUGCUUUGUGACUGAGUGUAAACCCACCACCACAUGCUGAAAGCCUUCUCGUUGUAUGGCCAGGUGGUUGGGCUAAAAAAACAAUCUGGAGACUUGGCAGGGCAGCAUGGCAAACUGUUGGCCACUGUCGGCUGCAGAAUAUACUGUAUUACAAAAUGUAUGAAAGGGUUACCAAUCUGUGCAAUAUAUUGAAUCUUACAAAUA